rnacentral:rRNA from 1 species
AGAGUUUGAUCCUGGCUCAGAUUGAACGCUGGCGGCAUGCUUUACACAUGCAAGUCGAACGGCAGCACGGGUGCUUGCACCUGGUGGCGAGUGGCGGACGGGUGAGUAAUGCAUCGGAACGUAUCCUUAAGCGGGGGAUAACGCAUCGAAAGAUGUGCUAAUACCGCAUAAUCUCUGAGGAGAAAAGCAGGGGAUUGUAAGACCUUGCGCUUUUGGAGCGGCCGAUGUCUGAUUAGCUAGUUGGUGGGGUAAUGGCCUACCAAAGCUUUGAUCAGUAGCUGGUCUGAGAGGACGGCCAGCCACACUGGGACUGAGAUAUGGCCCAGACUCCUAUGGGAGGCAGCAGUGGGGAAUUUUGGACAAUGGGCGUAAGCCUGAUCCAGCCAUGCCGCGUGAGUGAAGAAGGCCUUUGGGUUGUAAAGCUCUUUCAGCCGGGAAGAAAAGGUUGCGAUUAAUAAUCGCAAUUGAUGAUGGUACCGGAAGAAGAAGCACCGGUUAACUACGUGCCAGUAGUUGUGGUAAUACGUAGGGUGCGAGCGUUAAUCGGAAUUACUGGGCGUAAAGGGUGCGCAGGCGGUUUUGUAAGUCAGAUGUGAAAUCCCCGGGUUUAACCUGGGAACUGCGUUUGAAACUACAAGACUAGAGUGUAGCAGAGGGGGGUGGAAUUCCAUGUGUAGCAGUGAAAUGCGUAGAGAUAUGGAAGAACACCGAUGGCGAAGGUAGCCCCCUGGGUUAACACUGACGCUCAGGCACGAAAGCGUGGGGAGUAAACAGGAUUAGAUACCCUGGUAGUCCACGCCCUAAACGAUGUCAACUAGUUGUCGGGUCUUAAUAGACUUGGUAACGUAGCUAAUGCGUGAAGUUGACCGCCUGGGGAGUACGGUCGCAAGAUUAAAACUUAAAGGAAUUGACGG